rnacentral:rRNA from 1 species
GAUGAACGCUAGCGGCAGGCUUAACACAUGCAAGUCGAGGGGCAGCGCGGGUAGCAAUACCUGGCGGCGACCGGGCAAACGGGUGCGGAACACGUACAGAACCUACCUUUAUCGUGGGGCAUAGCCCGAAGAAAUUCGGAUUAACUCCCAUAACAUAGAAGAGUGGCAUCACUAGACUAUUAAAAAUUUAUUGGAUAAAGAUGGCUGUG